UGGCGGACGGGUGAGUAACGCGUGGGUAACCUGCCCUGUACAGGGGGAGUAACAGUCAGAAAUGACUGCUAAUACCGCAUAAGACCACAGCACCACAUGGUGCAGGGGUAAAAACUCCGGUGGUACAGGAUGGACCCGCGUCUGAUUAGCUGGUUGGUGAGGUAACGGCUCACCAAGGCGACGAUCAGUAGCCGGCUUGAGAGAGUGAACGGCCACAUUGGGACUGAGACACGGCCCAAACUCCUACGGGAGGCAGCAUG
rnacentral:rRNA from 1 species